UACGAAGGGGCUAGCGUUGUCCGGAUUCAUUGGGCGUAAAGCGCGUGUAGGCGGCCAGGUAGGUCCGAUGUGAAAUCUGGAGGCUCAACCUCCAGCGGUCAUUGGAAACCAUCUGGCUAGAGUCCGGAAGAGGAGAGUGGAAUUCCUGGUGGUAGCGGUGAAAUGCGCAGAUAUUAGGAGGAACACCGGUGGCGAAGGCAGCUCGCUGGAACGGUACUGACGCUGAGGCACGAAGGCCAGGGAGCAAACG
rnacentral:rRNA from 1 species